UGAUCAACAAACGACACCCUGGACACAGCACACACACCUCUUGUCUGUCCGUGAAUCCGUCUGCUUGUCAUUUCAAUGCACGCUUACUGGGUUACCAGCAACUCUCAGAGGAAGUUAGCUCUCGGGAGACCACAUAAACCUGAAGGCCUCCUCCCUUUCUCGCUUUGUGCUUAGAAGCAGCUAUAGGGCGGCCAUCGUGGCUCUCUGAGGAAACAGACUUCUCUGGCUACAUGCUUGAGGUCCUGGUUAUACUGGAGCAGGGUGGUGAUGUUCACAGGUGUCUGCCCAACCCCAAGGAUCAAAUUUAUAAAUUGUGUCUUGGUUAGUUUUAACAAAGUCUAUAUAAUCGAGGAAAGCAGAAAGACAAAUGUACAUAAAGAACUUUCCAACUUCUUCCUUUGAAUGAUUGUUUUCUGGUAUCAUAGCAGAAGACUAACACAAACAAUUAGUAGGCUAUAAUUACCUGCAACCACCUUGCUUGUUAACGAGGUCUAAUCUCAUUGGUUAGAUUAAAGACAAAAGAAGUUGGCAAACAACGAACAGUAUAGACUGGCCAGUCGGAGGGCUGCGAGUGAGGUUUCGCAGAUGUAUCGACUUCCAAACAGAAAUUUAAGGAUAAGUAUUGCGUGUUUGUGGGUGUGACAGCAAUUCAAGAGAGCCUGGAUGUGAAGAGACAAGACUGGCCCAUUGGGACGUGGACUUCAAGACCAAGCUCGCAUGUCUCGGAGAUGUGGGCUACCCCUGUCUCCUAGCAUAGAGCUAACUAAUUGGACAACAUGGGUAUGUACAUGGCCCUUCUCCAUGCACAUGGCUGGCUGUAGGAUGCAAGAACGUUUGUCGAACUCAAGCAGGAGGAUGGUGCGUUCAGACAAGGAUUGGGGGGGCAGUUUCUCUUUUUAUAAUCAGUUGCAGUUUAAGUUUGAAAGUCUACCUCCUAUUGUUACACUUUGUCAUUCUGACUUUGUAUAUUUUGACUGUACUUUUUUUAUUUACUCAUUCCCACUUAGGAAACUGUCAAUGUUUGCCAUUACUUGUUUAGUGUUUGUUUCUCCUUCAUGCAGGAACAGAAUUCAGAUGUCUGACAACAGAACCAUAUUACAAAACUCUUUUUAUUUACUGCAGAUGUAAAGGACAAGUGUCUGAUAAAAGCACUGGCAGUGUGUCCUACAGUGAUGGGCAUUUGUUCCUGCUUAACCAGGAAGUAGCAUAAUGACCUUGCAAAAUUAUGCAACUGCUUGAAUCCUAGCCAAGUCAUUAUCAUAUCAUAUUUGCAGCACACACAUUUUGGAACAUGCUGUUCUUAAGUCAUUUUUUUUAAGUCCACCAGGCGGACAUGAUGGUAAGUUUGAAUGGUUUGUUCACACAUUUAAGCUAUUAACAAAUGAUACAUUGAUUUUAUAAUUUACAUGUAUGAAAAUGGAUGGCUGGAUGGCCGUUUGAAAGAUCCAAAUUCAUAGACCUCAGUAGGUUUUCACGGUAAAAGGUUCUUGUUAGCCUUUGAAACAUGAUUUUAAACAUUUAAGAAAAUCUUCCCUGGUUGUUGGCUCUAAACCUCUUUAUAUAAAAGUGUGUAUACACAACUGACCAGUAUAUGAGAUUAGUCUCCGGACCCAGCUGCUGUACAGACAGCUAUGUCAUGGAGAUAAUCUUUUUGACAUGCUGACAAACAUGGAGUCCUGGAGCAUGACAUUUCUUGUUUGAUCUUCCAUAAAAUAUGUGUUUAAUCCAA